rnacentral:lncRNA from 1 species
CGCAUGCCUUAGAGGAAAGAGAGAGGCGGCCACAAGCUUUAGAGAAAAGGAAACCCUAUUUCAUUUUCCUUGUAUAUGUAAUCUUUCCAUUUAUGUAUUUAGUAGUUAUCCUAAAUCUAGUUGGAUUAGGAUUUGUACUCUUUCCUUUUAUCUCUAUCUUGUAAUCCUUAUAUAAGGGAUGUCUUAUUCAUUAAUGAAAUAGACAGAAACAUUCAGCUCUAAAUCUAUUGUUUCACAACACGUUAUCAGCACGAUUGUUCUCUCCAAUCUAAGCUAAAAUCGUCAAUCCCUUAAACCUAACCUAGCCGGCGACUUUAACCUAAUCCCGACGAACCCUAAUUCGUCCUAGCUCGCAUUCCCGC